ACGUUCCCGGGCCUUGUACACACCGCCCGUCACACCACGAGAGUUUGUAACACCCGAAGUCGGUGAGGUAACCUUUUGGAGCCAGCCGCCUAAGGUGGGAUAGAUGAUUGGGGUGAAGUCGUAACAAGGUAGCCGUAUCGGAAGGUGCGGCUGGAUCACCUCCUUU
rnacentral:rRNA from 3 species